rnacentral:tRNA from 1 species
GGGGAUGUAGCUCAGAUGGUAGAGCACUUGCCUUGCAUGCACAAGGCCCUGGGUUCCCGAGCACCACCA